UACGUAGGGUGCAAGCGUUAAUCGGAAUUACUGGGCGUAAAGCGUGCGCAGGCGGUUUUGUAAGUCUGUCGUGAAAGCCCCGGGCUCAACCUGGGAAUUGCGAUGGAGACUGCAAGGCUUGAAUCUGGCAGAGGGGGGUAGAAUUCCACGUGUAGCAGUGAAAUGCGUAGAGAUGUGGAGGAACACCGAUGGCGAAGGCAGCCCCCUGGGUCAAGAUUGGCGCUCAUGCACGAAAGCGUGGGGAGCAAACAGG
rnacentral:rRNA from 1 species